GCAGAUGAGAAACCCUUAGAAGAGAGGGGUUGGGCUGGGAGGAAAAGAAAGAAAAGAUGUGAGCCCUUCUUUGAAGCUGAGAAUGAAUUUCAACAUCUUUUCAUAGCUCAUCCUCCAAGAAUUUUCUCCACAACAAGCCACAUGUGUUGCCUACUAUAUUUCCAGAGGGCAACAGGAGAAUGAAGAUUUAAUCUGAGCUGAGUUAAAUUGGUUUUCAGCUCCAAGUCCAGGAUAUACAAAGCAAAAAGAAAACCCAAGACACUUACCACCACACUGGUCCUUGGCUUCCAAGUUCUAGUUGUUUCCACAUCUUGGCUCUUGUGCAUAAUGCUGCUAUGAACAUGGAGAUACAGAUAUCCCUUCAAAAAGCAAAAACACCCCUGUCUAAAUGCGCCGGCCCAGUGCCUGUCAAGAGAUCCUUAUGGGAGGCCGCCGGCGUCCCAGAAGACCGCCGCAUGACUCAAGACUCGAAAGGUUCCCGAGUUCAAGCUACUCUGGACGCCGCGGCUGCUUCGCGCUCGUCGCCGGGCCGCGCAGCCGCCACCCUGAUGUCCCCACCCGCGGGUCCGCGCGCCCCGCGCGCCCGCUGAGGGGGAGGGGCGCGCUCGGCCGAGGUCGCCGCCCGGUUGUGCAAUCCGGCUAUGCAAAUAAGCGGGGUUACGACAGCCAAUUAGAAGCCGGCUCUGCCGUGACGCGCGCGCCGAGAGCCCGUAGUAUUUAUAGAUCGUAUUUAAAGAGCCCUUGGGAGUCUCCCCGGGCUCGGCUGGGCGGCGGCGGCGGCUGCAGGGCUGUAGUUGGCCGGGCGCGAGUGAGGUGGCGGGGCGGUCGCUGCUGGUACCGUCCCUGUGGGGGUGUUGGGCGUGGAGGAGUGUCAGAGCACGUUCUAUAGUAGUUUUUACCCACUUCCUAGCUCGGUUUCUGGAGAGGAGGAGGAAAUGGUGCAGUUUCCACAGUAGUUUCGCUUCAAACAAAGCCGGGGAUUUGGAAUCUCAAAGCUCAAGGUGGGGGAUGGGGGCAGCAGGUUGAACCGACCCCGCCCGGGCCCCUCAUUUGAGCCACAAACCGCCGCCGUUUCCUGGUGCUGAGCUGUGUAGAGGCACCCUUCCUGGGGGGAGGGGAGAACAAUACCGCCUGAAAAGCCAAAAGUCGCGGAAUUUGGGGGCGGGGUGUAUUCGUAGAAAAUAAAUUACGAGAUAGUGGCCCUGAUUAUCUUGGCGUUGAGUCGACUGAUCUUCAGACUUCCCGGCCAGCGAGCUGCACACUGCAAUGCGAAAGCAGGAAACUGGCAUUACGUCAGAAGAGAGGAGACCCAAAUUGCAACGGUUGCAUCUGCAGGCCUGGCUCUUUUUCCUUGGAGAGGUUCCGGGGUCCGGGCCCAGGGUGCUGCCCGAGCCAGGCGUCGCGGGCUUUCACGCCGAGGGCCCACCCCUGGCGGCACCCGGGGACCCCAGGCCCGGGCGCCUAUAGCCCUAGCCCUCAGCCUCUGCACGUUGUCCUCCCCGGAGGGCUCUUCAGCAACCACGACUAAUUCCUUUUAAAGAUAGCCCCGCGCCUAGCUGGAUGUCUUAAAUUCCCGGGGAGGGGUAGAGGGCGGGGUGUUGACUACUGCCCUUAGUUGAGCAGGAGCUCAUGUCCACCUCGGGAAAGCAGGUGGCAAAGGGGAGGAAUCCCAGCCUAGUGUAGAACAGGACGAGUUAUCCCCACCUGGUCAAGGAUCUCAACCUUGAGGGGCGUGGUCACAGGAAACUUGUUUUCUGCCAGGGACCCUGCUCCUGAGGCUUUGCCACUGCUUCUUAGUAAACCGCUUGAGGAUGGACCGCCGUGAAGCAGGAGGAUAUCGUGAAUUAGUACAUUCUGUCUCUUGGAAAACUUUGAAGAGUUUGACUCUAGCCUCACCUGCUCCCUCACUCCCUGGCUCAGGGUCAUUACAAGGUAACUUAAGUAACCUGUUCUAGGCUCCUGGCCCACUCCACCUGGGAGCCAAGCUUAGCACAAAAAAGGUGGCCACAGUAGCUAAUGAUUAUUGUUCUGUGCUGGGUGCUGAGCGUUUUGGCAGACUAUCUCGUUUAAUUAUCACCAUAACUGCAUGAGGUGAGUACUGUUAUUCCCAUUUUGCAGAUAAGGAAACAGAUAAGAAGAAUCAGUUGUUUCCCUGUGGAUGGGAACCAGGCAAUCUGAGGGCAAAGCCCGCACUUUCUGUGCAGGGUGGGGAGCUGACUUUGAUCAGGGGACCUUCCAGGUUCACCUCACCUCACCAAGAAGGCCUUCAUUGGUCCCUGCUGUUUGUCAAACUCAGUAAACCUAGUCCUGCUUAAACAUGGUGUUGGGUGGCCUGUUUAAUCCCCUGGAGUAAGAGACUGCUCCAGAACACCCAAAUUAUCUAAGCCAGUUUUCUCAUUGCUCUGUAUUUGCAGCAGUAUCUUAUGAAGUUGUUUAAUGAUUAACUUUAUAAAGCACUUGAUUCCUAGUGCAAGCCAUUGGAUAAUGUCAGAUCCUGUUUAACCCAUUAAACAUAUAGGGAAGCUAAAGAACCAGCUGAGUUAUCAUGUAAGUUAGGAGUGGGGCUGGGUUCAGAAAUAGCUGAUAGCCUAAUUCAAGGUCAGUGAGUCCUGUCUUUGCUUUUCCCUUUGGUUGCCUUAUCCAGCAUCAUCGUCAUCUAGACAGGAGAGACAGCCAGGGAAGAGAACCUGUGGUUUUAGAUGAUUGUCUGUGAUUAAUGUCUAGGAAGAGAAUUUCAGAGGAGGAAAAGUUAAGAGGGAGAAGGUUAUGUUUGUUUAUACAAUUACAGUUUCAUAUCUUAGAAACAAGUGAUUUGAAAGCCAGGAAUCCGAUAGAGGUUGAAGGCCAGUUCUGCCCCCUCCCAGGUGGAAGACCUUAGACCACCUGUGGAAUAUGAGACCCCAUUGCCCCAUCUGUAAAAUGGAAGUAACCUGCUACCCAUCUCCUGAAGCCUUGCUCCUGGCAGUCUCCUCCGCUGCCUCCUCUUCCUCCUCUAGUCUUUUACAUGCUGGUGCUUCUCAAAGUUCCCUCUUAGGUCCAGUCUCUUCUCACCUAACACUCUCCUGGAUGAUCUUACCCAGGUCAUGUCCCCUGUUACCAUUUGAAGUCUUUCUUGCCCAGGUCUCUUUCCUGAGCUCCAGAUCUAUAUGCACAACAUGCCCACUUGGAUGCCUCAGACUUAAAUGUUCCAAACUGAACUACUGGUUAUCUCUCUCCCAGCCACUUGUGAAAGGUUGGCCCUCCUGCUGCACAUCCCCACCCAGUUAUUCAUGCCAAAGCCUGGCUAAUCCCUUUCCCUUAAAUAUAUCUUAUAUUUAUAAAUAUUUAUAUCUUACAGCACUUAAUAUAUCCAAUUAAUGGCAGACUCCUACCGUGGGCCCAGCUGUUAGCUGCCUUAUGUUUACUGACCCCUAAAACCUUCUCUACCUUGCAGACAUAUCCCCUCCAUCAGCCCCCAUUGCCUGCAAAAUGAAGCAUGGCUCCAGCUACAAAGCUUUAGCCACUCAAGACUGGGCCCAGACCUUGGUCUCUAGCUACUCCCCUCGCUUGCACUCUUUCAGCCAUUCUUAAAUUCUUUCAGUUCUUCUAAGGGUGCCAAAUUCUUUUGUUGUUUCUCUGAGUGUUAGCAGAGGCUAUUCUGAGAAUGCUGCCAUAUCAUGUCACCUCAUCCCCAUGUCCCUUCUUCUGACUGAAAGCUCAUGCUACUCUUUCAGUUCUCACUCUGUGUCACUUCCUCCAGAGAGCUCUUUGACCUCCACUCAUCUCCACAGAAGGUGCUCCUCCAGCUUACUCAGAGAAAUGUGCUUUCCUCAUCACCACACCAGUACACUGUAGGCUGGGUGUCUUUUUGCUUGGCUGAAUCUAUGUUCUUAUUCAUGGAGAGGGGGACCACAUCUGAAUCAUUCGGGAUGCUUUGUCAACCUGCACCUCAGAACCCCAUCCUCCCCUCAUGUUCCCAUGAAUGUGUCAUAAAAAUCAGGACACAGAGAACCCGUGGUGCCAGUGAUGUGCUUUAUCCCUCAGGUGUGUUAGGGUGGAAAACCGCUGCACUUGACAGGCAAUUCUCCAAGGAGGGGAUCAUUAUGUCCCUCAUUCCUGGCCCAGUGUGAGGCACAGCAUGGAAGACAUUCAGGAAGCACUUGUGUGCUUGAUGGGGAAUGUGAGGAUUAGAUCAGAUAUGUAUAUGAAGUCCCCAGGACAUACCAGGCAUUGGGGAAAUCUGGACUGUCUUUCCCUCUGCUUGCUAAAAUGGAGCUUAGGAGUUGCCAUGUGAUGCUUCGUGCCUGCCCUUCUUGUCACCCUUUAUCCCCUGUGAGUGAAAGUGAAAGAUAAUUACAUUAGGUCCCUAGAGCCCUGCCACUUCACUAUAGCUGUUUUAAAAUGAACCAGGAGUUUCCUGGUGGCCUAGCAGUUAAGGAUUCAGCAUUGUCACUGCUUUGGCUCUGGUUCAGUCCCUGGCCCAGGAACUUCCACAUUCCGUGGGUGUGGCCAAAUGAAACAAAAAACAAACCAAGAACACUUUAUGAAACCUGGGCCUGAUUUCUAACUGACACCUUUAGAAGCAAACCAUCUCAUACGUAUUGUUCCUCUGUUGGUCUGUGUUUUGUUUUUGUUUUGUUUUGUUAUUGUAAAGGAGAGCUAUGUCUCCUAAAAUUCUUUUUUGGGGGAAAGCCAUCUUCAGAAAAGGAACUUUAUAUUCAGAUUGUCUUUGAAGACAUGGGACUGAAGCUUAGGAGGAGUCAGGACCAGAGGUAGAUGUAAAUUGGGGGCAGACGAGAGCCAUGGCUCUUUCCUGAGUCUGGGCAGGGCUCUGCUGGCUGAUGGAUGGCUGCAAGGCAUUAGUAGCCAGGGAGAGUUUUGCCCAAAAGAAAACAAGAUGCAACUGGCAUUGGAGUCAGGUCUGCGUUUGAGUUUGGCUACAAGGCCUUCAUCAACAGUACAGCUUCUCUGGGUCUGUCCUUGGCUUCCUCCUUGGUAAAGUAGGACCCCACUGGUUCUAAUAGAAACAGUGUGCAGUGUUAUAUAAGAAGUAAAUGUAAAUAUAAAGUCUUAUUAAUAUACUAUCUAAUUAUAAAUAUAGAAGUCAACACACAUUUAUUGUACAUCAUGUGGUUAGGUGAUAGGGCACAAAGAUGAAUGAAAGAGGAAAGGAAUUUUUGUUUAUUGAUCCUUCCAACUUCAGUUCCAAGUAUUUUCUGGCCAUUAUCUCUUCUCUCUUCUAAUAGCACCAAGAUUCUGCCCUCAGGAGGCUCAUAUUCAGAAAGAUGACACAGAGACAUAUUAAAAUUCAUAUAAGCAACUGUGAUUAUGCCAAAUUGUCACAUGGGAACACAUGAUGGAGCUGUUCAUCUGCUAGUCUCUCAGAGCUGAGGGGGAAAGGCGAGGGAGAAAUAAAGAUAUAAUAGCAUUGGAGUUCCUGUCAUGGUGCAGUGGAAACAAAUCCCAUUAGGAACCAUGAGGCUGCAGAUCCCUGGCCUCGCUCACUGGGUUAAGGAUCUGGCAUUGCCAUGAGCUGUGGUGUAGGUCACAGAUGCGGUUCGGAUCUGGUGUUGCUGUGACUGUGGUGUAGGCCGGUGGCUACAGCUCCAAUUAGACCCCUAGCCUGGGAACCUCCAUAUGCUGCAGGUGUGGCCCUAAAAGACCAAAAAAAAAAA
rnacentral:lncRNA from 1 species